rnacentral:snRNA from 1 species
AUAAUACCUGGNGUGGGAGAUAUGAUCAUGAAAGUGGUGGUUUCCCCACGAGGAGAGCUUAUCCAUUGCACUCCAGACAUGCUACCCCUUUAUGAUUCCCUCAAAUGUGGGGAACUCAACUACAUCAUUUGUGGAAGUGGGGGACUGUACCUCCUCUCCCCUA